rnacentral:rRNA from 1 species
UACAGAGGGGGCAAGCGUUGUUCGGAAUUACUGGGCGUAAAGGGCCCGUAGGCGGCCUGCUAAGUCCGACGUGAAAUCCCCAGGCUUAACCUGGGAACUGCGUCGGAUACUGGCGGGCUUGAAUUCGGGAGAGGGAUGCAGAAUUCCAGGUGUAGCGGUGAAAUGCGUAGAUAUCUGGAGGAAUACCGGUGGCGAAGGCGGCAUCCUGGACCGACAUUGACGCUGAACGGCGAAAGCUAGGGGAGCAAACGGG